GACGUAGGAUCCGAGCGUUGUCCGGAGUUACUGGGCGUAAAGCGCGCGCAGGCGGACACGCGCAUCGGCGGUGAAAGCCCCCCGCUCAACGGGGGAGGGUCCGUCGAGAUGGCGUGUCUGGAGGCAGGGAGAGGCCAGUGGAAUUCCAGGUGUAGCGGUGAAAUGCGUAGAUAUCUGGAGGAACACCGGUGGCGAAGGCGGCAUCCUGGACCGGUAUUGACGCUGAGGCGCGAAAGCCAGGGGAGCAAACGGG
rnacentral:rRNA from 1 species